rnacentral:rRNA from 1 species
AACGUAGGAGACAAACGUUAUCCGGAGUUACUGGGCGUAAAGGGCGUGUAGGUGGUUUCGUAAGUCUGGCGUGAAAUUUUUCGGCUUAACCGGGAAAGGUCGUCGGAUACUGCGGAGCUAGAGGACGGUAGAGGCGUGUGGAAUUCCGGGUGUAGUGGUGAAAUGCGUAGAUAUGCGGAGGAACACCGAUGGCGAAGGCAAUCCCCUGGGCCUGCACUGACGCUCAUGCACGAAAGCGUGGGGAGCAAACAGG